ACACCCUCAAGCUCUGCUUGGUGUUGGGCAACGCGGUCCGCCGCGUGCCUCAAAUCGACCGGCUGGGUCUUCUGUCCCCUAAGCGUUGUGGAAACUAUUCGCUAAAGGGUGUUCGGGAGGCUACGCCGUAAAACAACCCCAUUUCUAA
rnacentral:misc_RNA from 1 species